GAAAUAAACCCGUGCGACAAAAUUGGAACGAUACAGAGAAGAUUAGCAUGGCCCCUGCGCAAGGAUGACACGCACAAAUUGAGAAAUGGUCCAAAUUUUA
rnacentral:snRNA from 1 species